rnacentral:rRNA from 1 species
CCUACGGGGGACAGCAGUGAGGAAUAUUGGUCAAUGGGCGCGAGCCUGAACCAGCCAAGUAGCGUGAAGGAUGACUGCCCUAUGGGUUGUAAACUUCUUUUAUACAGGAAUAAAGUGAGGUACGUGUGCCUUUUUGUAUGUACUUUAUGAAUAAGGAUCGGCUAACUCCGUGCCAGCAGCCGCGGUAAUACGGAGGAUCCGAGCGUUAUCCGGAUUUAUUGGGUUUAAAGGGAGCGUAGGUGGUUGGUUAAGUCAGUUGUGAAAGUUUGCGGCUCAACCGUAAAAUUGCCAUUGAUACUGGCAGUCUAGAGUACAGUUGAGGUAGGCGGAAUGCAUGGUGUAGCGGUGAAAUGCUUAGAUAUCACGAAGAACUCCGAUUGCGAAGGCAGCUUACUAAGCUGCCACUGACGUUGAUGCUCGAAAGUGUGGGUAUCAAACAGGAUUAGAUACCCCUGUAGUC